rnacentral:rRNA from 1 species
GACGAACGCUGGCGGCGUGCCUAAUACAUGCAAGUAGAACGCUGAAGAGAGGAGCUUGCUCUUCUUGGAUGAGUUGCGAACGGGUGAGUAACGCGUAGGUAACCUGCCUUGUAGCGGGGGAUAACUAUUGGAAACGAUAGCUAAUACCGCAUAACAAUGGAUGACACAUGUCAUUUAUUUGAAAGGGGCAAUUGCUCCACUACAAGAUGGACCUGCGUUGUAUUAGCUAGUAGGUGAGGUAAUGGCUCACCUAGGCGACGAUACAUAGCCGACCUGAGAGGGUGGUCGGCCCCACUGGGACUGGGGCACGGCCCAGACUCCCUCGGGAGGCAGCAGGAGGGGAUCUUCGGCAAUAGGGGCAACCCUGACCGAGCAACGCCGCGUGAGUGAAGGAGGUUGUCGGAUCGUAAAGCUCUGUUGUAAGUCAAGAACGGGUGUGAGAGUGGAAAGUUCACACUGUGACGGUAGCUUACCAGAAAGGGACGGCUAACUACGUG